rnacentral:rRNA from 1 species
GAUGAACGCUGGCGGCGUACCUAAUACAUGCAAGUCGAGCGAACAGACGAGGAGCUUGCUCCUCUGACGUUAGCGGCGGACGGGUGAGUAACACGUGGAUAACCUACCUAUAAGACUGGGAUAACUUCGGGAAACCGGAGCGAAUACCGGAUAAUAUAUUGAACAGCAUGGUUCAAUAGUGAAAGACGGUUUUGCUGUCACUUAUAGAUGGAUCCGCGCCGCAUUAGCUAGUUGGUAAGGUAACGGCUUACCAAGGCGACGAUGCGUAGCCGACCUGAGAGGGUGAUCGGCCACACUGGAACUGAGACACGGUCCAGACUCCUACGGGAGGCAGCAGUAGGGAAUCUUCCGCAAUGGGCGAAAGCCUGACGGAGCAACGCCGCGUGAGUGAUGAAGGUCUUCGGAUCGUAAAACUCUGUUAUUAGGGAAGAACAAAUGUGUAAGUAACUAUGCACGUCUUGACGGUACCUAAUCAGAAAGCCACGGCUAACUACGUG